rnacentral:rRNA from 1 species
AUGGUCACUUUGGAUUUCGUUGAAGGACUGCCAACCUCGAAAGGAUUCAACUCUAUCCUGGUAGUGGUGGACAAGCUCACCCGCUAUGCCCAUUUCAUACCACUUCGACAUCCAUUCUCAGCACUGCAAGUGGCUAAAGCCUAUAUGGAUAACGUCUUCAAAUUACACGGACCUCCAGAGGCAAUGGUUUCCGACCGUGAUCGAAUUUUCACCAGCAAGGUAUGGCAAGAACUCUGCAAGCUCACUCACAUCAAACUGAACAUAUCCUCAGCUCGGCACCCGCAAACGGAUGGCACAACGGAACGAGUGAAUCAGUGUAUGGAGUUAUACCUCAGAUGCUUCGUGCACAAUUGCCCCAGCAAGUGGGUCGAGUGGAUUUCCUUGGCAGAAUUCUGUGACAGACUUAGCCCAGUGGACUCGGGACAGGGCAGUCAUGGUGGCUCUGUUACGGCAGCAUCUCAACAGGGCGCGGCAAAGCAUGAAAUAGAAGGCUGA